rnacentral:rRNA from 1 species
GAUGAACGCUGGCGGCGUGCCUAAUACAUGCAAGUCGAGCGAACGGACGAGAAGCUUGCUUCUCUGAUGUUAGCGGCGGACGGGUGAGUAACACGUGGAUAACCUACCUAUAAGACUGGGAUAACUUCGGGAAACCGGAGCUAAUACCGGAUAAUAUUUUGAACCGCAUGGUUCAAAAGUGAAAGACGGUCUUGCUGUCACUUAUAGAUGGAUCCGCGCUGCAUUAGCUAGUUGGUAAGGUAACGGCUUACCUAGGCAACGAUGCAUAGCCGACCUGAGAGGGUGCUCGGCCACACGGGAACUGGGACACGGUCCAGACUCCUACGGGAGGCAGCAGUAGGGAAUCUUCCGCAAUGGGCAAAAGCCUGACGGAGCAACGCCGCGUGAGUGAUUAAGGUCUUCGGAUCGUAAAACUCUGUUAUUAGGGAAGACCAUAUGUGUAAGUAACUGUGCACAUCUUGACGGUACCUAAUCAGAAAGCCACGGCUAACUACGUG